UUCAUGCGUCAUAUCUGAAGUUCGCGCCUCCUGACAGCAGCUGGAUUUAUCCUCCAAAAGUUCUAGAUGAGAGUUGAGUUGCCGUGACAACCGUGACGCAUCAUCAGUCAACAAAGAGCAACACCAAACUCUCAUCUCUCUCAACUCUUCUCUUUUAUUGUAAAAGUUCUAGAUGAGAGUUGAGUUGCCGUGACAACCGUGACGCAUCAUCAGUCAACAAAGAGCAACACCAAACUCUCAUCUCUCUCAACUCUUCUCUUUUAUUGUAAAAGGAGGAGACGGGAAUACCCGGAGUAAACCCACGCUGACACCGGGAGAACAUGCAAACCCCACACAGAAAGCCCACCUGACCUAACCGGGGCUCGAACCGCUGACCUUUUUGCUGCCCUGUUUGACUCUCAUUAUAAAGACAAAAUCAACGCAUUUCAGAGAAGCAUGACUUAAGGAGCAACAAGGUAUGUGGAAUGUCUCUAUCUAUCUAUCUAUCUAUCUAUCUAUCUAUCUAUCUAUCUAUCUAUCUAUCUAUCUAUCUAUCUAACUAUCUAACUAUCUAUCUAGAUACUAUCUAUCUAUCUAUCUAGUACUAACACUAGCGGUCAGUCUUAAGUGUCUAACACUUCUUCUUCUCUACAAUUCUUUACUUUGAUUAUAAUCCAGCCCAUUCUAAGUGAUUCGUUUAUGAUUUAUCUGGUGCGGUGUUGAUAGGCCCCGGUGUUUCUCUGUAAGCUAACACUUGUUAGAUGAAUCAAAGGCUUCGCUAUGGUGAGUUCUCCACUAGGCUUGUACCGCUGAACUGACUCGAGUCUGUUCAGUCGGGGUGCUGUGGUAGUCCACUCUUUCUGCACCUUAGGCAGCAAUAUGCAGUGUGGCCUCUGCCAUCGGGCACUCCAAUCGCUAACCGUGCCAACUGACAUAAGACCCUAGUGGCUGUGCCAGUUGGUGGGUGACACUUUUGAGUGCUGCCCGGUGUGUUAGAGGCGUGACUGUUGAGCAGUCGAGGUGGGGAGGGCAGACGGCCCAGCGCUCUUGGCUGCGUGCUCAGGGAAGCGCCUUGUCUGUGGGUUCCACCUGGGUAGCCUUAAAUAGUCAACAAGUGUAGUGAAAGAGAUUCACUUUUCUCCCCUUUGUAGCCACUAGAGGCACCAGAUGUAAGGUAGCAUUCCCUAUCCUUCAAAGGUCUAUCUUUCUAUCUAUCUAUCUAUCUAUCUAUCUAUCUAUCUAUCUAUCUAUCUAUCUAUCUAUCUAUCUAUCUAUCUAUCUAUCUAUCUAUCUAUCUAUCUAUCUAUCU